AAGCGGCGGACGGGUGAGUAACGCGUGGGUAACCUGCCCUGUACACACGGAUAACAUACCGAAAGGUAUGCUAAUACGAGAUAAAGUACUUUUAUCGCAUGGUAGAAGUAUCAAAGCUUUUGCGGUACAGGAUGGACCCGCGUCUGAUUAGCUAGUUGGUAAGGUAACGGCUUACCAAGGCGACGAUCAGUAGCCGACCUGAGAGGGUGAUCGGCCACAUUGGAACUGAGACACGGUCCAAACUCCUACGGGAGGCAGCAG
rnacentral:rRNA from 1 species